AAAACAUCGCCUCCUGCAACACAACCAAGUAUAGGAGGUCCAGCCUGCCCAGUGACCACAAGUUCAACGGCCGCGGUAUUUUGACCGUGCAAAGGUAGCGCAAUCACUUGUCUUUUAAAUAGAGACCUGUAUGAAUGGCUAAACGAGGGCUUAACUGUCUCCCCUUUCAAGUCAGUGAAAUUGAUCUACCCGUGCAGAAGCGGGUAUAAUAAUACAAGACGAGAAGACCCUUUGGAGCUUAAGGUACAAAACUCAACCACGUCAAGCAACUUAAUAAAAAGCAAAAACCUUGUGGGAUAUGAUAUUUUACCUUCGGUUGGGGCGACCACGGAGGAAAGAAAAGCCUCCAAGUGGACUGGGAAAACUUCCUAAAGCCAAGAGAGACAUCUCUAAGCCACAGAACAUCUGACCAAACAUGAUCCGGCAACAAAGCCGAUCAACGAACCAAGUUACCCUAGGGAUAACAGCGCAAUCCUCUCCCAGAGUCCAUAUCGACGAGGGGGUUUACGACCUCGAUGUUGGAUCAGGACAUCCUAAUGGUGCAGCCGCUAUUAAGGGUUCGUUUGUUCAACGAUUAAAGUCCUACGUGAUCU
rnacentral:rRNA from 2 species